rnacentral:rRNA from 1 species
AUUGAACGCUGGCGGCAGGCCUAACACAUGCAAGUCGAGCGAGAAAGCCCUUCGGGGUGAGUAGAGCGGCGGACGGGUGAGUAACGCGUGGGAAUCUACCCAGUAGCGGGGGAUAACAUGGAGAAAUUCAUGCUAAUACCGCAUACGCCCUACGGGGGAAAGCAGGGGAUCUUCGGACCUUGCACUAUUGGAUGAGCCCGCGUGAGAUUAGAUAGUUGGUGGGGUAAUGGCCUACCAAGUCGACGAUCUCUAGCUGGUCUGAGAGGAUGAUCAGCCACACUGGGACUGAGACACGGCCCAGACUCCUACGGGAGGCAGCAGUGGGGAAUAUUGCACAAUGGGCGAAAGCCUGAUGCAGCCAUGCCGCGUGUGUGAAGAAGGCUCUAGGGUUGUAAAGCACUUUCAGUAGUGAGGAAAGGUAAUAGGUUAACACCCUGUUGCUGUGACGUUAACUACAGAAGAAGCACCGGCAAACUCCG